rnacentral:rRNA from 1 species
UGUUGCAGUUAAAAAGCUCGUAGUCGAACCUUGGGUCUGGCUGGCCGGUCCGCCUCACCGCGAGUACUGGUCCGGCUGGACCUUUCCUUCUGGGGAACCUCAUGGCCUUCACUGGCUGUGGGGGGAACCAGGACUUUUACUGUGAAAAAAUUAGAGUGUUCAAAGCAGGCCUUUGCUCGAAUACAUUAGCAUGGAAUAAUAGAAUAGGACGUGUGGUUCUAUUUUGUUGGUUUCUAGGACCGCCGUAAUGAUUAAUAGGGAUAGUCGGGGGCGUCAGUAUUCAGCUGUCAGAGGUGAAAUUCUUGGAUUUGCUGAAGACUAACUACUGCGAAAGCAUUCGCCAAGGAUGUUUUCAUUAAUCAGGGAACGAAAGUUAGGGGAUCGAAGACGAUCAGAUACCGUCGUAGUCUUAACCAUAAACUAUGCCGACUAGGGAUCGGACGGGAUUCUAUAAUGACCCGUUCGGCACCUUACGAGAAAUCAAAGUUUUUGGGUUCUGGGGGGAG